GACGAACGCUGGCGGCGUGCUUAACACAUGCAAGUCGAGCGGUAAGGCCCUUUCGGGGGUACACGAGCGGCGAACGGGUGAGUAACACGUGGGUGACCUGCCCUUAGCUCUGGGAUAAGCCUGGGAAACUGGGUCUAAUACCGGAUAUGACUCCAUGACGCAUGUUGUGGGGUGGAAAGCCUUGUGCGGCUAGGGGAUGGGCCCGCGGCCUAUCAGCUUGUUGGUGGGGUGAUGGCCUACCAAGGCGACGACGGGUAGCCGGCCUGAGAGGGCGACCGGCCACACUGGGACUGAGACACGGCCCAGACUCCUACGGGAGGCAGCAGUGGGGAAUCUUGCGCAAUGGGCGAAAGCCUGACGCAGCGACGCCGCGUGGGGAUGACGGCCU
rnacentral:rRNA from 1 species